GCCUUCAUGGUGUAGUGGUCAGCACGCUCGACGCGUCCGAGAGGUCCGUGGUUCGAUUCCCGGCGAAGGAG
rnacentral:tRNA from 1 species